AACACACACACACACACACACGGGGUAGGAGGCGCUGGCCGUAACAAAUAUUCAUGGAUGUUUCAGACCAGCUGAGGAAACUGCUUCAGUCACUGCCACUGAAAUGCACAUUCAUCAGAAGUCUGCUUCCUGUUUUUGUCUCUCAGCCUCCUACAUAAAGCUGUUUGCUUUUGAUUUCACUUCCAUUCCCUGUGACACAGAUGAGUUUCUACACUGAGAGCUCCAGUUCCACCGGCAGCAGAACAGCCCCAGUGCAUAAUACUGCCACCACCAUGCUUGAUGGUGAUGGCAGAGAGGCUCAGUGAAUGGAUAUGGCUUCAGAAGUUGCUGCAAGUACAAUGAAUCAGUGUGAGAAGAAAAAGGAGGCCGACACUGCCUCCAAAACCACAGAGAGCUUGAAACAUGACAGUGAGACAAAAGCUCAGAGCCCAAAACAGCAGCAGCAGAGACCAGACUGUCCUGAAGUCAGCUGUGUGUCCAUGAAGAGCGACUGGUCGAUGGGUCGCUUUGAGGACUUUAAAGCUGCCCAAUCUGAUGAUGGAAAACCUGAAAUUAACACCUCCCUCUGCCUGAAACAGCAGCAGCAGAGACCAGACUGUCCUGAAGCCAGCUGUGUGUCCAUGAAGAGCGACUGGUCGAAGGAUAGCCUUAAUGACUUCAACGCUGGCCAAUCUGAUGAUGGAGAACCAGGAAUUAAAAGGGUCUCGGGGGGAGCUGGAGUCUAUCCCAGCUGACUUGAGGCGAAGUCAGGGGACACCCUGGACACGUCACCAGUCUGUCGCAGGGCUACAUAUACAGACCAACAAUCACUUUCACAUUCACAUCUACGGGCAAUUUAGAAUAAUCAAUCAACCUCAGCAUAUAUUCGGACUGUGGGAGGAAGCUGGAGUACCCGGAGAAAACCCACACAUGCAC
ensembl:lncRNA